UUUCAUGAGGAAUCCGACAGAGGAUCGUCCGACAGUGGGGUUCGGAUGGCACUGUGGGGGUUCGUCCGUCGAAGGAGUCUUGAGGACACUGGGGAAGGUCGAACGUUGGAGGAGUCCGGGAUUCAAUUCUGUUAUAGAAGUUCGGACAGAGUCUGGCUCUUGUAGGAGUCUGAAAGGAGGCCGCUUAUUGUAAAAGCUCGGAC
rnacentral:lncRNA from 1 species